rnacentral:misc_RNA from 1 species
UGGUUCUGGCAUCGAUGAAGAACGCAGCGAAAUGCGAUAAGUAAUGCGAAUUGCAGAAUUCAGUGAGUCAUCGAAUCUUUGAACGCACAUUGCGCCCUUUGGUAUUCCGAAGGGCAUGCCUGUCCGAGCGUCAUUCACAACCUUCAAGCCUGGCUUGCCGUUGGACCUUGUGUCGUUACACCGACAGGUCUCAAAAACAAUGACAGAGUGGUGAAACCCCCUAUACAACGAGCUCUCGUAGCACGUAUAGAAGGACUUACGAUUCUGGUCUGACCCCAAUUUUUAUCACUAGGUUGACCUCGGAUCAGGUAGGAAUACCCGCUGA